rnacentral:rRNA from 1 species
AACAAACGCUGGCGGCGUGCCUAACACAUGCAAGUCGUACGAGAAAGGGUUCUUCGGAACCUGAGUAGAGUGGCGCACGGGUGAGUAACGCGUGGAUAAUCUGCCCUUCAGUUGGGAAUAACUCAUCGAAAGGUGGGCUAAUACCGAAUAACGCUGUGAGACUUUGGUCGAUCAGCCAAAGAGAGCCUCUGCUUGCAUGCCCUCGCUGAAGGAUGAGUCCGCGUACCAUUAGCUAGUUGGCAGGGUAAUGGCCUACCAAGGCGACGAUGGUUAGCUGGUCUGAGAGGAUGAUCAGCCACACUGGAACUGAGACACGGUCCAGGCUCCUACGGGAGGCAGCAGUGAGGAAUCUUGCGCAAUGGGGGAAACCCUGACGCAGCAACGCCGCGUGAGUGAGGAAGGUCUUCGGAUCGUAAAGCUCUGUCAGAUGGAAAGAACCACAUGGGGGUAAACAGCCCCUGUGUCUGACGGUACCAUCAGAGGAAGCACCGGCUAACUCCGUGCCAGCAGCCGCAGUAAAAC